UACGAACUGUGCAAACGUUAUUCGGAAUCACUGGGCUUAAAGGGUGCGUAGGCGGCUAUUUAAGUAGGGUGUGAAAGCCCCCGGCUCAACCGGGGAAUUGCGUCCUAAACUGGAUAGCUCGAGUGAGAUAGAGGUGUGCGGAACUUCCGGUGGAGCGGUGAAAUGUGUUGAUAUCGGAAGGAACGCCGGUGGCGAAAGCGGCACACUGGGUCUCAACUGACGCUGAGGCACGAAAGCCAGGGAGCGAACGGG
rnacentral:rRNA from 1 species